rnacentral:piRNA from 1 species
CACGUCGUACUGUGUUGCUGUUACC